UAAUACGUAGGGACCGAGCGUUGUCCGGAAUUACUGGGCGUAAAGGGCGCGUAGGCGGCCCGCUAAGUCGAACGUGAAGUCCCCAGGCUCAACCUGGGAACUGCGUCCGAUACUGGCAGGCUUGAAUCCGGGAGAGGGAUGUGGAAUUCCAGGUGUAGCGGUGAAAUGCGUAGAUAUCUGGAGGAACACCGGUGGCGAAGGCGGCAUCCUGGACCGGUAUUGACGCUGAGGCGCGAAAGCUAGGGGAGCAAACGGGA
rnacentral:rRNA from 1 species